GACAAAGUAGAAUAAAAUUAAGUUCAUUUCGUUUACACCGAAAAAGUCGAUAUUUAGUUGUUUUGUUAG
rnacentral:tRNA from 1 species